GGGCUCCGGAGGGCAGAGAGGCACUGGGAGGCAGAGGGGCAUCAGGAUGGGGUGGCCAUACAGCGGCCCCCAAAAGAUCCCCGUCCUGCAGCUAUGGGCAGUGGGGUGAGCCCUGUGUGCCAUGGGGUGGUUUGGGGUGAGGGAUGUCCUCCUUAUGGGACUCUGCUCCCCACCAGGAGGGGCCACCAGUCCUUCCCACUCAGAGCUGGGGAACGGAGCUGGCCCUGACCCCACUUCUCCCUUUGCUUUGCAGAAUGCAGCGAGCUGCUGUCCUGUGAGCUGUGCACGGCCGCUCCUCCAGCGCCCAACGGCACCGGCUGCCUCUGGGGGGGCUGUGGGGCACCGGAGACGUGGAGCUGCAUGCACAGCAGGGCGGCUGCGCGGGACACAUGUGUGCUCUACAACAGCACUGCCCUGUGCCCAGGUAAACCCACAGCCACGGGGUCACAAUGGGGAUGGGACCAUGCGUGGCUGUGCCCCCUGCAGCCCUCCUCCCUCCUGUCCUCUGCUGUUGUCUCCAGCAGCACUGAAAUCCCCCACCAAAGAGCCACCACGGUCCCCUAGCAAGGAGCCGGCAACGCGUUCCCCACGUGAGUGGGGCUGGGGUGGGAUGGGGUGGGAUAGCAUGAAAUGGGAUAGGUUGGGAUGGGAUGGGUUGGGAUAGGAUAGUAUGGGAUGGGUAGGAUGGGAUGGGAUGGGGUGAGAUGGGAUGGGAUGGGAUGGGAUGGGAUGGGAUGGGAUGAGUGGGUUGAGGUGGGAUAGCAUGGGAUGAGUAGGUUGGAAUGGGAUAGCAUGGAAUUGGAUGGGAUGGAUAGAUUGGGACUGAAUAGCAUGGGAUGGGGUGGGAUAGGAUGGAUGGGUUGGGGUAAAACAGCAUGGAAUUGGAUGGGAUGGAUGGGUUGGGUUGGACAGCGUGGGAUGGGAUGGAUGGAUUGGGGUAGGAUAGCAUGGAAAGGGAUGGGAUGGGAUGGGAUGGGGUUGGACAGCAUGGGAAGGGAUGGGAUGGGAUGGGAUGGGAUGGGGUUGGACAGCAUGGGAAGGGAUGGGAUGGGAUGGGUUGGGAUUGGACAGCAUGGGAAGGGAUGGGAUGGGAUGGAUGGGUUGGGGUUGGACAGCAUGGAAUGGGAUGGAUGGGUUGGGAUAGGAUAGCAUGGGAUGGGGUGGGAUGGGAUGGGACAAAAUGAGAUGGCAUGACAUGGCAUGGGAUGGGACCACCCACUUCCCUGUGCAUCUUUUGUCCCCGGGGAUGAGCAGUGCCACCCUCUCGGGUCACAUCACUGAGCUCUGACCCCCAGCUGUGCUCACGGUCCAGCCCUGCCCCAUCCCCACAGCUCUGCACCCCGUGCUGCAGCAGUGUAGGAUGGGCUGGGGGCCCUGGGGAGCAGCAGCAAUUCCUGUGCGGGCAGCAGAGCGGGCGGGCAGCUGGGAUGGGGCUGGGAGUGGAGAUGGAGCCUCUUCCAGGAAAUGGGAACUGGAGAGCACUGGGCUAAAUGCAGCCGUAACCGGAGCUGCGGCUCUGAAUUAUUGAUGCCUCGUGCUGCUCCAGCAAUGGAAGGGGCCGAGCCCUUCUCUCCCGCUGGACCCCAUCCUUCAGGAGGGGGGUUGGGUUGGGGUCAGUCCCCGUAGCCCCACGCUGUCCCAUAGGGAGCAGCACCACGCGUGCCCCGCUGACGGGCAGCCCCGAGUUCCAGCCUCCAGGCUUCGACACGGCCAGCUUUGUGGGCGGCAUGGUGCUGGUGCUCAGCGUUCAGGCCGUCCUCUUCUUCAUCCUCAAGUUCAUCAAGUCCAAGGACAGCACCUACCAAACGCUGUAAGGCUCCCUUGCUCCUCUGUGGGGUCACAGCGAUGCUAUAGGGCAGCACCACCGCAUCUCACCGUGGGGUGCUGCGUCCUCCCGCGGCUGUUUGUCCGUCCGCUCCCGUGGGGGUGGGGAGGAUCUCAUUUCCUGGGGUGCCCUCCCUCGUUUCCACGUGGAGGGUUUGAACCCUUUCUGUGUCCGUCUGUCUGCGUGCUGCUGCCCUGCCGCACCCCAUAGGACCGUGCAGCCCCCAGACCCACCCUGUGGGGGUCCAAUGCUCUCCCAGCCCCUCCUCGUGCCCACCGUGGGGCUUCUAACACGGGGGGGUCGUGCCCCUCUCUCUUUCCUUGCACGCUGCCAGAGAGGACAACCAGUAGGUGCUGAGCGCUGCCAGAGGAUGGGGAGGGGGCUGCCCUGCUGCCCCACAGCUGCCCCUGGGGGAAGGGGCUCAUUCCCACCUUCCUGCUUUGCAUGGCGGGGGGGGGGUUCUCUGCUGUGUGCUGUUUGUCCCCGGGGCUGUGAGGUGACCCCACGUCCCCGUCCCUUCUGCUGUGUCCCCAAGAAGGUGGCAGGCAGCCCCCGUCCCAUUGAGCCCCUCGCUGGGGUGGGGGCUUCCCCCCCAGGAAUUGCUCUCUAAUAGAGCACCCAGCAGCGUGCGUCCCCCCCCCAACCCCCUCUGCACCGUGCGGGGUCCCCUCUUGGUUCUGGCUCCAGCAUCCCGGUGCCAUUGCAUCCUGCAGGGUCCCAGCCCCGCAUGCUGUCCCCUCCUGUCCCCCCCCUCCCCCAGCCCUGAGCCCCCAGUGUCCACCCCCCUCCUGCAGGAGCAGAGCCUGGACCUUGCUGUGUGCUUUUGUUGUGCCUCUGUGUUCCUGGGUGUGAGGGGGGGGGACACACACGAUGGAGAUGGAGGUCCCUGUGUGUCCCUCCUCCCCCUGUGUGCUGUUUUUGGGGGGGGAGCUGCGUGCUGUGUGCUGUGGGCUGAGGUUUGUCGCUCCCGCUGCCCCCAUUAAACUCUGCCAGGUGGUGUCCGUGUGUCAGCCCCAUCGUGUCCUGGGGGGGGGGCAGAGAGGUGGGGGGGGGAUAAGCCUGCAGAGCCCCUGUGCCCCCCAUCCCUUCCCUGCAGCAGCUCCCAUUCUCCCCCUCAUCCCAGAUGUGGGACCUCCCUCUCCCAUAGGUGGGAGCAGUGGGGUGGGGGCAGUAGGGUGGAUGCUGUGCCCCCCCCCGGGCCCUUCCUGCUAUGUGCUUUUCUCCAUCCACUGCUGCAGGAUCUGAGCUCGGAGCGAUGCUCCCCUCACCCCCCCGGGGAGGUGGAGAAGAGACAACUGCUGUGUCUCCAUCCCAUGCCGGGACCACCCCAAAGCCCCCCCCAGCUGUGGGACCCCCCCCCUGCACCACAACUAUGCAAAGCUGGCUCUGCUCAGGGGGGGCUCUGCACCUGGGGGCGAGGGGGGGGCUGGGCUGUGUCACCAAGUCACCCAGCAGAGCAUGGGAUGCUGCUGGGAUGUUCCCAGUGCUCCUCGAUGGCGUGGGGGGGCUCAUCCCACCCAGCUUUGCCCCCCCCACACACACACACACCCCAUGCUUGCCAGGAGGAAGCUGUGGGGGUAGGAGGGUGGGGGCUGUUUGUCCCCAACCCAGGGCUGGCACUGUGGGGGCAGAGAUCCAAUAAAGGACUUUCCUCCCA
rnacentral:lncRNA from 1 species